rnacentral:rRNA from 1 species
AUUUCCGAAUGAGGGAACUCAAUCUAGGUAAAUGCUAGAUUAUCAUCACAUGAGUAAAGUAGUGUGAUAGAGGGGAACGUGGGGAACUGAAACAUCUUAGUACCCAUAGGAAGAGAAAAUAAAAAUGAUUCCGUAAGUAGUGGCGAGCGAAAGCGGAAAAGCCCAAACCUGAGUGAGCAAUCACUAGCAGGGGUUAGGACAUGCAACAAAUUCCAAGAAAGAGUGUAGUAGAAGUGUUUUGGGAAAGCACACCAAAGAGAGUGAAAGUCUCGUAUAUGAAACACGAAAGAAGGAAGAGUAUGAUCCAGAGUAAGACAGGACACGAGAAAUCCUGUGUGAAUGAGCGGGGACCAUCCCGUAAGGCUAAAUACUACUUGGUGACCGAUAGUGAAAUAGUACCGUGAGGGAAAGGUGAAAAGAACCCCGGGAGGGGAAUGAAAUAGAAUCUGAAACCCUAUGCUUACAAGCAGAUAGAGCACGUUAAAGUGUGAUAUCGUACUUUUUGCAGAACGGUCCGGCGAGUUACUGUAUAUGGCAAGGAGAAGAGUUUAAGACUAAUAUCCGAAGCGAAAGCGAGUCUGAAUAGGGCGAAAUAAGUCAUGUGCAGUAGACCCGAAACCGAGUGAUCUAUCCAUGUCCAGGAUGAAGCUAGAGUGAAAUCUAGUGGAGGUCCGCACCAGUAGACGUUGAAAAGUCUUUGGAUGAGGUGUGGAUAGCGGAGAAAUUCUAAUCGAACUCGGAUAUAGCUGGUUCUCCUCGAAAUAGCUUUAGGGCUAGCCUUGAACAAAAACCGUAUGGGGGUAGAGCACUGAAUGAGCUAGGGGCCAAACAAAGGUUACCAAACUUUAUCAAACUACGAAUACCAUGCGGGAGGUUCAGGAGUCAGACUACGGGAGCUAAGUUCCGUGGUCAAAAGGGAAAGAGCCCAGACCGUCAAUUAAGGUCCCUAAGAUAUAACUAAGUGGAAAACGAUGUGAUUUUGCGCAGACAACCAGGAUGUUGGCUUAGAAGCAGCCAUUCAUUUAAAGAGUGCGUAAUAGCUCACUGGUCGAGUGAAGUUGCGCGGAAAAUUACCGGGGCUAAGUUAUACACCGAAAUUGCGGAUUCAUUAAGAAAUUAAUGAGUGGUAGAGGAGCGUUCUAUACAGGAUGAAGUAUGAUCGAGAGGACAUAUGGACAGUAUAGAAGAGAGAAUGCCGGAAUGAGUAGCGAGAUGAAGGUGAGAAUCCUUCAGGCCGAAUAUCUAAGGUUUCCAGGGUAAAGCUGAUCUGCCCUGGGUAAGUCGGGGCCUAAGGCGAGGCGGAGACGCGUAGUCGAUGGACAACUGGUGUAGAUUCCAGUACCUUACUAAAUCAGAAAUGUGGGGACACAUGGAGAAAGAGAGAGCCGGGAAUGAGAAGACCGGUGCAAGGGAGGUAGGAGUGUAGUAGGAAAAACCGCUGCACAAUCUGAAGACCUGAUGCGGAUCGAAAAGAAGUAGAGAAGCUCUUGGACUCUGUGGCGAGAAAAGCCGCUAUAGUGUUUAGUAAGCCCGUACCGCAAACCGACACAGGUAGAUGAGGAGAGAAUCCUAAGGCCGGCGGGAGAAGCAUUGUUAAGGAACUCGGCAAAAUGACCCCGUAACUUCGGGAGAAGGGGUGCCCAGGCAACUGGGCCGCAGAGAAAAGGCUCAAGCAACUGUUUAGCAAAAACACAGGUCUAUGCGAAACCGUAAGGUAAAGUAUAUGGGCUGACGCCUGCCCGGUGCUGGAAGGUUAAGAGGAGAGGUUAGCGCAAGCGAAGCUUUGAAUUGAAGCCCCAGUAAACGGCGGCCGUAACUAUAACGGUCCUAAGGUAGCGAAAUUCCUUGUCGGGUAAGUUCCGACCCGCACGAAAGGCGUAAUGAUUUGAGCGCUGUCUCAACAAUGCACCCGGUGAAAUUGAAGUACCAGUGAAGAUGCUGGUUACCCGCGCCAGGACGGAAAGACCCCAUGGAGCUUUACUCCAGCUUGAUACUGGGAUUCGGUAAUGUAUGCACAGGAUAGGUGGGAGACUGAGAAGAUAGGACUUCGGUUUUAUCAGAGUCGCUGUUGGGAUACCACCCUUAUGUUAUUGGAUUUCUAACCUUAGGCCGUAAGCCGGUCAAGGGACAAUGUCAGGUGGGGAGUUUGACUGGGGCGGUCGCCUCCGAAAGUGUAUCGGAGGCGCUCAAAGGUUCCCUCAGAAUGGUUGGAAACCAUUCGAAGAGCGCAAAGGCAGAAGGGAGCUUGACUGCGACACCGACGGGUGGAGCAGGUACGAAAGUAGGACUUAGUGAUCCGGUGGUAUAAAGUGGGAUUGCCAUCGCUCAACGGAUAAAAGCUACCCUGGGGAUAACAGGCUUAUCACUCCCAAGAGUUCACAUCGACGGAGUGGUUUGGCACCUCGAUGUCGGCUCAUCGCAUCCUGGGGCUGUAGUAGGUCCCAAGGGUUGGGCUGUUCGCCCAUUAAAGCGGUACGCGAGCUGGGUUCAGA